rnacentral:snRNA from 14 species
AUACUUAUCCAGCAUGGAAGGAGGACAGCCUGAUCAGGAAGGUGGCUUUCCCAGGGCGAGGCUCAUCCCUUGCAUUCCUGGGGUGCUGACCUUUAACAUUCUCAAAUGGAGGAAAUUCAGCUGCACCAUUUGUGGUUAACUGAGCCCUGUUCACUCUUUUUCUGU